UUGUCAUCCUCCCACCUCUGCUUACUGGCUACCCUCCAUCGAAAUAAAGCGGUGCCAAAAAGAACCCUGGGAUCGAUCCCUCGUGCCCACAGCAGAUCGAUCUCCGCCGCCAACCAGACCUUCGCACGCCCGAUCCACCCCUACGCCCCCUCCGCGGCCGAUCAAUCCCUGUGCCGCGGCCGAUCGAAACCGCCGCCGUCGCGCUUGCAGGAGGCGGCUAUCUGUUGUGGGAUCGGGCGAGGAUACGGGGCUCGAUGCAGAACGGCGGCGGCUGGAGCUUGAAGGGGCCAGAUCCGUGCGCGGCAGGGGCUGGGAGCCGAUCCGGAGGUGGGCAGCGAAGCGGGGAUCGCGGGUGACGACGAGGAAGGCUAGAGUGGCUUCCCGGGCGGAUCCAUGGCAUCCGCGGCUCUUGGGAAGAAAGAAGACAUGGAGGUGAAGGAGAAGAGGAAGGCAGCACGUCGCCAGCCGGUUGGGUGACACCAGCCAGGCCACGGCUGGAGCAGCACAGGUGGCGCAGCCACUUCGGCAAGUACAAAUGAGGACUUGACCACCAGGAAACUAGGCAGUGCAGCGCGAGUGCCGCUGCCCUAUGUGUGCCUGUGACCGAGCACUGCCCCGCCCAGCCGUGCAUGCAGGAUGGGAAGAUGCAGCGCUUGCUGGAAAGCUGGUCAAGGAGGCCCCUGACUGUGAGUUUUAGCUGAUUUAUCUUGCACAUCGCACUAAUUGGUAGAAAUAAAUGGACUUGCAGAAAUUUCCUAUCAUCGGUACGAUAUUUUCUGAUUAAAAUUAAUGAUGCUUUCCAUAUUGAGUUUGUAUAUUCGAUCUCACCAUUGUUUAGCUUCCUUUCCUGAUGUUUGGACACAAGGAAUGUGAGAUAAAAUUUAUCUUCUUUAGUUUUUACAUGAAAGUGCUCCAUUUAUAUGUAUUAUUGUUGAGACAUGGGAAUCCUCAAGGUGGCAGGCUUGUUCUUAUUGUUACUCAUGCAACCAGUAUGCUUUAGCUAGAUUGUAAUUUCAGCAUCAUUAUUCUUUUUCUGGAUUGUACUACUUUUCAGGUUUCACUGUCUGAAUCUUCAGUAUAAAACAAAGUCGACAAUAUAUGCCAUUUUAGGAGUAUUGCCGCCAACACCAUUUUUUGUUUUGUCCCAAAAUUUUCCCAGCUUUCUUCUAGAGUUGAAUGUGUUGGUUGGUAGUUUGCCCUCAUAGAGUUUUCAUAGCAACUGCUAGAUUAUAUUGUUAUCAAAUUUGCAACUAUUUAUAACCGUAAUAGUAAAUUCCACCGAGAGGUUAGGCGAGCGGACUAUCACUAGGUAACAUAUCUUCAUUUUUCUCCCUCAAGUUUCAUUGGAUACUCUCAAUUUAACUGAGAUAAUUUCAUAAAACUACUAAAAUUAGUGGGUCGGACCGCUCGAGUAAGAUCGCUUCCACCCCAUCACGUGUGCUUACUGCGAGCACCCCGACUUCAUGCUUGGCAAAUACUGCAGAAUGUGUAGCAGAAUCCCGGCUAUCUUAGCAACUACCUCUCCGACGGUGCAGGUGCUCGGCCUCAUUAUGGUCAGGCACAACAAGUGGAGAUGAGUGGGAGGAAGAAGAGUGGAAGGAGAAGAAGGGAUUUGCACAGAGCAGAAUUUCUUGUUUGGAUGGGAGGUUGAUGUAGUCUUGCAUCGUUUUGAAAUUCCUGUCUGACUAUACAUGUAUACGCUCCUAUAUCCAGCGUCUCAAGGUCUCCCUAAUCCUGUUGUUCUCCAACCCAGCUUUGACUAUCAUCCUGUUCCAUCAUUUAUUUUUAGUAUCUAGCCGGCGGCAGCUAUUUGAUCUUCGUCAUAAUCACAUGUGACACAUGUUGGUUUAGUCUAUAUUUAUGUACAUACCAUCUACAUCUCAUGCCUGCAGAGAUUGACAUGUAGUGCUUUUAGAUUUGGGCAGUGCAAAUUCUUCACCUUAUUUAUACUGAUUUUUGCAUGAGUUAUACAAUCAUGAGUUAUUGAUCCCGUGAUCUUUUGGAGCCUGAGAUUAAAUAAGAUAUGAAAUAAUAUAUGCAAGUUAUAUUUGAAAUAGUUUCCCACUGUAUAAGCAGAAUUAAAAUUGAUUAGUUUUGUUCGAAAAAAAUAUACUAGAUGUUGCUAUACCAACAAUUAUUAUUAUUUAGUCAUCAAGAUAUAUAUGUUCUUUUUUACUUGCAUCUUUACUUUGAAUGUGUGUUGUAUGGUGUGUGUAUUCAGUGCCGACAUCUUACCUUGCAGGUCUAAGACAAGAUUGAACUCUUGAAAUAAAUACUCCCUCCGUCCCGAAUUACUUGUCGCAGAUAUGUAUGUAUCUGGAUGUAUUUUAGUUCUAGAUACAUCCAUUUCUGCGACGAGUAAUUUGGGACGGAGGGAGUAUUUUGUUUAUAUAUAUGCCUUUCCUAAAGAUAUCUCGGUCCUGCCCAGCUUGAUCUAAUUCAAUUUAGACGAAGGACACCUUCAGGAAUAAGACGAUCUACUCAAAGGCUGGCUUGCUCCGCGGCCUCCACCUCGCCCACCUCAUCCCGUAGCCAUUGUCGUCCUCCACACGACCACACCAGCUUUCACGAUUUGGGUCUGUGGCAGGCAUAAACUAUGAGAAUUUGACUGGUCAUUUUCAUCGCAGGCGGCUACGGCGAGGACGUGUGGAAGGUAACAGCUCGGACUUGAUGCCCUUUGCCUCCGUCAUGGACACUGUCAAUGAAUUUUGACUGUUUAUAUAGACUUUGGUUCAUUAUGACAACGAUAAAGAUCACUUUGAGGCGCUCGCCGUGGCAGACGGGGAUGGGGUGGCGCCGGGUACACUGCUUAUAUCAUAAAUGUUGUGACGGUUCCAAAUGAGAACUGAACUUACUGCACUAAUUUUCAGUUAUAUAUCAAGUCGGCAAAUGUUUGCGUGUUCUGUAAAAUAGCAUGGCAAAUUUUAAUCCAAAUGUUGUCUGUCUUCAGUUAUCUAAAAACUAGCAUGGCCAGUUUGUACAUGAUACAAUUUUUCAGCAUGGCAAAUUAGUUAAUAAAUUGUAAAAAAGAUGGUACCAAAUAAACUUGUAUACGGUCAUGUAGCAUUCUAAUUUUUCGUAUAGCAACUAAGCCAUCAGUAUCCUUCCAAUGGUUUACUAAAUCGACAUCCGUUACUGAAUUUAGAGGUCAAGAAAGCAUCAGGUUACCUGUGAAAACUCAUGCAGGAAAGAGGCGUUACUGCUGCUCAUCCCACACAUCGUCUGCUGAUGCACCUCCUUCCAGUGCGUUGUUCACUGCUACCUCUCCCGACGCAUUGUCCGCUCCCUACUCCUCCCUCCAACAGGUCACCCAGAACCUCUGCUACACCUCCUGCAUGGCAUGCCGGUGCAAACCUCUGCUGCACUCCUUAUUCCCUCACGAUUGUUAUUUGGAUAGCAACAGUGGGUAAAGAGGGCCAACGCGAGCAAAUGAAGCAGUAGGUGAACCGCUGCCUGCUCCACCUGUCCGACAGGGACAUGGAGGUCAUGGCCACCAGCGAGAUGGACGCUAUUGUGCACUGAUGAGCUCCUAGUCUUCCUCGCCGCCGUCUUCAACACCGAGAGAGGGGAGAGGUUCCACCGGAAGACCGGGAGCUCAUCAGCAUUCAGCGCCAUGGUCUUGCCGCGUUCUUCAACACCCGCCCUCACCACAGCGUCGCCACCGGGUCCCCCUCCCACCGCUCCCCGGAUCUGGUUGCGAUCCAUUAUCUGGCCGCUGCAGCUCGCCGGAGUAUUAAUCGGAAUCGAGCUAAAUUGGGGAUCGUCGGGAGAGAGAAAGUGAGGGAGAGUGGGAAAUGUGUGACCGCUUCGAUGGGUGAGGGAUAAAGGAAGUGAUGGAAGUGGAUCCUCUAACAUCCUCAAGGGAUGUCACGAAGCUACAGUAAAAUGCAUGUGUAAAAUAAAGAAGGGAUGUCAGGGUUACUGUAGCAACCACUAUGCGGAUUUACUGUAGCAUAUACAAAAGUAAAUCAAAAAUCAUUUUAUUGCCCCAUAAUUUUGUUUGUAUGUAAUUUUUGUAAAUGUAUAGAGUAGAUUUGUAAUUUACAAUAUAAUUAUAAUUAUUUUAGGCUUAAUCAUAUGAAUGUGAAGGAGGGAUGUCACGGUUACUGUAGCUUACGUGACAUCCCUUGAGGAUGUUAGAGGAUCCGGUUUCGGAAGUGAUGGGUCGUGUUGUUGGAUUCGGUCGGUCUUUGGAACGAAUGACUCCUGCUGAUGACGUGGCAAUCCUUGUGUAUCAGGAGUUAUGAUCCCACUAGAUUGGUCUAGAUAGGGAGAAGGUCGGGAUUGACCGGGAUCGAUAAGUACGGAGUGCUAAUUUUAGGGAUUGAAAGUUCAGGAUUUAAUUCAAAUUGGCUCUAUGAGUUAAAGGUUUUGCUUUAGAUUUUUCUCUAAACCAAAUAGCACUACGAUUUGUGCAAAUCCGAUGGUCAUAAAAAAUAGCCUGAAGCGAAUUUAAAAAUAGACGACUCAAAAUUAGAUAAUUUGUUAUUUUAUACAUGCGAAAUUUGACAUGUAUUAUCUUUAUAAAUAUCACCACACAAAAUUUAAAAGGCCCAUGACAACGCACUAAGUUCUCUCCCU